GGGUGCGAUCAUACUAGCGUUAGUGCACUGGAUCCUAUCAGAACUCCGUAGUUAGGCGUGCUUGGGCUAGAGUAGUACUGGGAUGGGUGCCCUCCCAGGAAGUCCUAGUGUUGCACCAU
rfam:Picea glauca, whole genome shotgun sequence.